GUAAGGAAUAUUGGGCAAUGGAGGCAACUCUGACCCAGCCAUGCCGCGUGAAGGAUGACGGCCCUCGUGGUUGUAAACUUCUUUUGUACGGGAAUAACCCUCCGAACGUGUUCGGAGCUGAAGGUACCGUAAGAAUAAGGAUCGGCUAACUCCGUGCCAGCAGCCGCGGUAAUACGGAGGAUCCAAGCGUUAUCCGGAUUUACUGGGUUUAAAGGGUGCGUAGGCGGAUUGAUAAGUCAGUGGUGAAAGCCUACAGCUUAACUGUAGAACUGCCAUUGAUACUGCCAGUCUUGAGUAUGGUUGAGGUAGCUGGAAUGUGUCAUGUAGCGGUGAAAUGCUUAGAGAUGACACAGAACACCAACGGCGAAGGCAGGUUACCAACCCAUUACUGACGCUGAGGCACGAAAGCGUGGGGAUCAAACAGGAUUAGAAACCCCUGUAGUCC
rnacentral:rRNA from 1 species